AAGAACAGAGGUGCUGUCCACCUCUCCGAAGCACACCAUUGAUUGGGGGAGUCAGAGCUGGCCAAAUGGUGGCCAGCAGAAGAGAUGCCAUGGUCAUGCCAAGGAAAUGCGAUCUGCACGAUGUGGUGCUUGACAUUAAGUGUUGGACACAUAACUUUCCCUUCUCUGGAAUCGUCAAGACUUCUUGGCCCCCAUGAUUCUCUGCACUGGGACCCAGAAAUCUGUGUUUUAACAAGCCCUGCAGAAGAUUGUGAUGCACACUCAGGUACGUAAUUUGGAAAAGGACAUAUCGUAUAUUUCAUCAGAUAUAUGUCAUAUGAUACAAGAAAUCUCGGUUUUAAGUUCAAGAUGAAGUCCUAACUUGCUGCAAGGUAUUCAUCAAGUUACUCAGAUUCUUCAUGCAUCAGGCGAAGAUCCAGACUGUAAGUGCUUGGCAGUAAGCUUUUUUUGAAUGUAACGUAAGUGCCUAACAUUUAGUUUCUGAUUGCCAAUGCGUCUAUUUCAAAGACACCCAUCUUGAAUAAACAUACCUCUAGCUACA
rnacentral:lncRNA from 1 species